rnacentral:rRNA from 1 species
UUGGAGGGCAAGUCUGGUGCCAGCAGGCGCGGUUAUUCCCACUUCAAUAGGGGAUUAUAAAAGUGGUGCCAGUUAAAAAGCUGGUAGUUGAAUUUGGGGAUCAAUAUUUCGGUCAUGCCGUUGGUAUGCACUGUUAUCAUUGAUUUCUCACCUUCUAAAGAACCGUGAUGCCAUUAAUUUGGUGUUACGGGGAAUUAGGACUGUUACCUUGAAAAAAUUAGAGUGUUUAAAGCAGGCUCACGCUUGAAUACAUUAGCAUGGAAUAAUGAAAUAGGACAUCCGAUUCUAUUUUGUUGGUUUCUAGGAUCGAUGUAAUGAUUAAUAGGGAUAGUUGGGGGCAUUAGUAUUCAAUUGUCAGAGGUGAAAUUCUUGGAUUUAUUGAAGACUAACUACUGCGAAAGCAUUUGCCAAGGAUGUUUUCAUUAAUCAAGAACGAAAGUUAGGGGAUCGAAGACGAUCAGAUACCGUCGUAGUCUUAACCAUAAACUAUGCCGACUAGGGAUCGGAUGAUGUUAAUUUUUUAAUGACUCAUUCGGCGCCUUACGGGAAAC